AUGGACCUUUAUUUAUGUUAGUUGUAUUUGUGUAGUUCUACUUUGUUAGUUUUGUUUUUUUAUCAUGUUAUGAGUUCGGAGUUCUUCACCACACUUAGCAUCGAAAAGUACAUUUUCAUCUCUUCGAAGACAAUCUCCAUUAGACUUGGAGAGAGGUAUCACAGCAUCUCGACGGACGAGUUUGGAGUUCUCCUUGGAUAAUACACCACAGAAGAGGCCGAGAGCGGAACACUUUCUGAGCUUGUCACGGUUAAUAGCUUGGAGAUGUCAGAUGAGCACGAGAUUUGGCCUGGGAUUGUCAGGACUUCUGAUAUCUUUGCUCCCGGCACUCGAAGGCCCUCUUGAUGCAUAAGCCAAUGCUGAGGCUUAUUCACUUGUUUGGACGACACAGUUUCGGGCACCGGUCUUCCAAGGCCUUGGGAGCGAUCAUAAAGAGGGACUUCUUUAUCUUCUACUGCUUGGAGAAGAGGAUUCAGAUACACCUUGGGAACUGAUUGCUACUCUCUUCAAGCAAUUAAAGUCCCUCUCUUGCCAUUCGAUGCUAUGGUGGGAGCUUUGUGACCUUGCUGCUUCAGAACACAGGGGUGCUUCAUAUAUUUAACGAGCCACCGAUCUGAUUUGCUCCCUUCGACUGCUGGCUCAAGGAGCUGAUCAGGAAUGGGGUGUCUGACCUCUUAGAUGAGGAGGUCAACCCCACAACCCUGGUUCCAAGUGAGGCAGCUACUGCUUCUGAUUUGGCUGCCAUUCACACUUCUCUUGAGCAGUUGUCUCUUCAGCAGCAGGAGAGUGAGGAGAGCAGGAGGCACGAGGCGAUGACAACUGCAGCUUAUAGAGAGACAAGCCAUCAGCAAUUUGGAUACCUAAGGGAUGGUCUAAGAGAGCUCAGAGAUGAGAUCAGAGCUGCGAGGGAUGACUUCAACACUCAUAGAGGAGACACUGUGAGUGCCUUCUAGCACCUUGGAGAGCAGAUAUAGAUAGUGCAGACGGAGACGCACUAAAUCUAGCAGACGCCGGAUUGGCAGACUGGCCACAUGGCGUAUUAUCAGGACGCGUACUCUGGAUUCCUCAACACUACUCCAGACUACCCACCUCCUCCUCAACACCACUUCCAGGACGCGGGAGCAGCACACCCAGGGUAUUACUACCACCAGUUCGAGCAGGUUGACUACUACGAGUACUACCUGCACACUCCGUUCUACCAGCCACCACCGCCACCACCACUAGAGGAGUGACUCUUGCAGGAUUUCUCUUUUCCUCAGACUCUUUCAUUUCUUUGUGUUUGUUAGACUUGUGUGUGUUGUGUUGUCAUUGUGGAUUGUUUGUUAUUUCGGAUGCAUAUUUUGAGAUUGUGGAGUCCUUGACUAUUAUGGUGUAUUAUUUUCCGUAUUUCUUCUUUUUAUCUUAGUCAUUUUAUGAUGAUUCUAGGUGCUCGACCCCGAUCCUUCAUUUUCUUUUGGUCCGGCUUCGCUCCUCUCUCCGUUUGAUAUCCCUUGUCCCUUUAUCUGUUUUCAUAUUGAGAAUAAUGUGUUGUGCAAGUGUUGGGU
rnacentral:lncRNA from 1 species